CACACGCAAGAGUCAAGUACGUCGCAUGUUUUACGCAUACCUCAAAGGCAAAAUGGCACCCGCGUCUUAUGGUGAGUGUUCGUCGCUUGCUGUCCCGCCUUUAUGCUCUCCCGAGUGACUGGCAGCCAACUCCAGCAACAAACGGCUGUCCAAGCGCGCAAACAAGUGCACGAAACACCUGUACACGUGGAAGCCAGACGAACGCAUCCGGAAAUCACAACCGUCGGCGUGUACAAACGAGCGAGCGAGCUGACUCAUGCGUAACCGACUCGAUACCAACGCUAGCAUUAGUUGCGCAUCCUAACCGACGCCGAUGUCAUACGGCCGCUUCCGGGUUCAGACGCAGGCUCAUAUUCCAAAACGCUUCGUGUGUGGCCCUGGUUGGAGUGCAGUAAGCGUAGAAUCUCUGAAUAAGGCGGCCAGCUACGGAGCCCACUGUUUAGGUUAAAAUAGACAGAUGUUCAAGCAGAUCGCUACGAUUAAUUAAGAUAUUUUUACCUGACCAUAUAGACAAUAAGGGUUUUCAGGCUGUCUCAACUACCGUGAAAAUUGCCGCCAGGCAUACACGCACGGUCUCAAGUGUGUUCCAAAUCAUUUAAAGCUUUUCUGCCCCGACUCCUGGCCGUGGUCGAGCAGUCCACGCCUGGUUAAGGACGGCUGCACGCCGUGUGUCGGCAGGUAAAUUACAGCUAAAAGGUAGCCAUCAGGUUUCAAUCUCAAGCCAACUGCGUACCUUGGAGCUGCUGUCUUGGCUUCCUUCGUCCCUGUGGUGGCGCCGACGGAUGCCACGUGCCUCCAGCCGAUGACGGGCCGGCUUUUCCUUCGCCGAGUGUCGCCAUGCUUGUGUCGCAGUCAGCCUGAGACGGAACGCCAGAAGCAGCGACAGUGUAUAGCUAAAGAACGAGCCGACGUCACGAACGAGAAGUGCAGAGAAUGCGACUCGUAGCACCGCCGGUGGAACCCUGCAGCCCGAGCAAGAAAGAUUCUUCCAGUAGGGUUGGAUGACUUCCCCGUGGGCCUCCGCUGACCGACGAGUGAGAACUUGGCCCACAUUCUGCUGAAUUGGCCAGCUGACGGCACCGAAAG
rnacentral:misc_RNA from 1 species